CUCAACGUUCUCAUUGAUAGAAAGGUGGUACAUAUACAAAGUGAUGAGAAGCUAAAAGACAAUGUGCACAGCUGGUAGCUGGCUGAAAGAGAGUAGGUGAGCUUGAGGCUCUAACGGAAUUUGCAGAAAUGCAGAGGAACAGAGAAGAGGACGAUGAGCUGUUCUGAUCAGUGCAACGAUGACGUUUUGUUCUUAUCUUCAUCACUUAACAGAACGCUCCGUUUCAUUUAGUCGUUGGUGUAGAGAGGAAGAAACGCUCCGUUUCACUUGAAGCUUGGAGAGUGUGAAGUUUGGCGGGAAAAUGAAAAAUCAUUUCCAAUACCCCUCCUCAAGCUGGUGGGCACAGAUUGUGCAGACCAAGCUUGGAUAUUAAGUAGUUGAAUGGUGCUGGGGAGAGGGCUUUCGUCAGAACAUCAGCAACCUGAACUCCAGUAGGGACAUGGAUGAGCUUGAUUAUCUUGGAUUGGACCUUUUCUCGAACAAAAUGGCAAUCCAAUUCAAUAUGUUUUGUUCUUUCAUGGAAGACUGCAUUCUCUGCCACAUGCAUUGCAGACUGGUUAUCACAGAAGAUUGUUGCUGCUUGGUAGUGCUUUGCUUGGAAUUCUGAGAGCAGAUAGAGUAGCCACUGCAGCUCACUAGCAGUAUGAGCAAGUGCACGAUACUCUGCCUCACAGGAACUUCUGGAAAUGGUGCUUUGUUUCUUGCUUUUCCAGGAAAUUGGUGAGUUUCCCAGGAAGACACAGAACCCUGUCACAGAUCUUCUGGUGUCUGGACAUGCUGCCCAGUCUGAAUCACUAUAAGCCUGCAACUGAAGAUUUGAAGUAGAAGAUAGAAGAAUUCCAGUAGCAGGAACUCCCUUCAAGUAUCUUAGGAUCCUUGUAACAGCCUUGUAAUGAUCGUUUAAGGGUCUAGACAUAAACUGGCUCACCUGUUGAGUGGCAAAGCUAAUGUCUGGUCUUGUAUUGUUUAAGUAGAUCAGCUUCCCUACUAUUCUUCUGUAUAAUUCCGGAUUGUGGAAUUCAUCAUCACCUGUAGAGGACAGAUGUGUCUUGUAGUCCAUUGGGGUAGCAAGUGGCUUGCUCUCCAACAUGUCUGCUUCUUCCAGUAGUUCUAGUAUGUAUUUUCUUUGAGAUAAAUGUAUUCCUGACACACUUCUUGUGACUUCUAAUCCCAGAAAAUACUUUAGUUCACCCAAGUCUUUGAUCUUAAAUGCACUUGUAGUUCCUCUUUCAACUUCAAAAUCUCUGUUAAGUCGUUUCCUCCCACAAUCAAAUCAUCAACAUAAACCAAAAUAGCUGUGAACGACAUACCACCAUUCUUCAGGAAGAGAGAGUGAUCGACUUUGCUUUGAGUGUAGCCUAACUGUUGUAGUUUGUCUGAAAGCUUGCAGUACCACUGCCUUGAUGCUUGCUUGAGACCAUAGAGCGAUUUUAGCAAUUUGCAUACUGGUCUUUUCAGUGCACUGCUUACUCUCAUUCCUUGAGGCACCUUCAUGUAGACUUCUUCAUGCAGGUCACCAUGAAGAAAUGCGUUGUUCACGUCUAACUGGUGUACAAACCAGUCUCUUGAAGCAGCAAGUGCAAGAAAGGUCCUUAUGGUUGUCAUUUUGACGACUGGUGAGAAAGUUUCUUGAUAGUCGACCCCUUCUUCUUGUGUGAACCCCUUUGCUACUGCUCUUGCUUUGAACCUUUCAACUGAGCCAUCAGAUUUAUACUUAAUUCUGUAAACCCAUUUGCUUCCAACUUCUUUCUUUCCUUCAGGCAGAUCAACAACUUCCCAUGUGUUGUUAAUCUCCAAAGCCUUUGUUUCCUGAUUCAUUGCUUCAGUCCACCUAGGGUCUCUGGCAGCUUCUGCAUAGGACCUAGGUUCCCUUUCUGUUGUUAUACUCAAAGCAAAGUGUUUAUGUUCACGAUCCAUAUCAUCAUAAGACAAGACAGUAUUGAGAGGAUGAGCUAUCUUUCCAGCUAUGUGUGCAUUAGGACAUACCUUUGAAACAUCACAGUUGGGGUUGCCUUGAUGCACAAGGAGCUGACAAUGAUAAUCCUGCAGGUAGGAGGGUGGUUUGUGAUGUCUGGUGCUUUUUCUGUUGUGUGGAGAAUUUUGAGGGACAGGGGAUUGAGAAGAGGUUUGAGAGGCAGGUGACUGGGAAGGAAUAUUGUGUUCACUGUCACUGGUAUUACUGUGUUCGUCAUCAUUGACAUUAUCAGUGCUGGGAAUGUACUCAUCCUCACUAUGAAUGAUAGGGUGUGGUUCAGUUUCAGGUGUAGGAUGAUCAGAAGGAUUGGUGGAGUGGCCAGUAUCCGGUAAAUCGGUGAAGUCUUGGUCAAAGGAAGGCAUUUGAUCAGCGGAAGAGUAGACUUGGUUGGUGCUGUUGCUGGUGUGAAAAGGAAAGACAUUUUCAUAGAAUUUGACAUCCCUAGAGACAAAUGUUUGGUGAGAAUCUAAGUCAUAGACUUUGUAACCCUUGAUUCCAGGUGUGAACCCUAUGAAGACUCCUUUUCUAGCUCGUUUCUGGAAUUUGGUUCUGUGUCCAGCAAGUGUGCUUGCAUAACACAAGCAACCAAAGACUUUUAAGUCUUCCAGUUUGGGUUUAGAAUGGUGAAAGGCUUCGUAGGGGGUGUUAUUGUCAAGGAGGUGAGUGGGGAUACGGUUCAUUAGAAACACAGAAUGCUUAACACAAUCAGACCAGAAAGUCAAGGGAAGGUUGGCUUGAAAUUUGAGAGCUCUAGCUAUGUUUAAAAUUUGUUGGUGCUUUCUCUCAACCUUACUGUUUUGUUGAGGUGUUUCUACACAAGAUGUUUCAUGGAGAAUCCCAUUUUCCUGAUAGAAGAGAGGCAUAAAAAAUUCUUUGCCUUGAUCACUACGUAUUCGUUGAACACUAGUUUUGUGUUGGUUUGUGACAUAGGAGCAGAAAUUUUGUAGAGAUGAUCUAGCUUCUGACUUUAGUUUCAGCAUCAUGAUCCAAGUCAUUCGUGUGAAAUCAUCAACAAUGGUUAAGAAAUAGAGAUAGCCAUCAUAUGAGGGGCAGGAGUUUGGACCCCAAAGAUCAACAUGAAUUAAUUCAAAAGGAGUUUUAGUGCUGGAGACACUAUGAGGGAAAGACAGACGUUUUUGACGAGCAAAAUGACAAACAUCACAGGGGGCUAAGUGGAAAGUUUCUAUACUAGGGAGAAUUUUCUUAAGAAAGGGAGUUCUAUGGUGGGAAACAUGUCCUAGACGGUAAUGCCAUAAAUCAAAGGGCUUAUUUCGUUGAGUGGAGGCGAUGUGACUAACUGGUUUGCAGGUUGUCAGCUUGUAGAGUCCCUUGUGCAGUUCAGCUAAACCAAUCGUGGUGUUCCUCGAUAGGUCCUGCAACACACAAUGGGUGGAAGAGAAAGUCAGUCUCAAUGGUUGUUGAGCUGUUAGUCUACUGACUGAUAUCAAAUUGAAUGCGAAAUCAGGCACAUAUAGAACAUUAUGUAGUGAUAAGGUGUCAUUAAUCAACACUGUUCCAGAAUGAGUGGCUUGGACUUGCUGUCCAGUAGGCAGAGUGAUCAUCAAAGCAUCAAUUUGUUUGCUCGAUUCCAUUAGGUUGAGUGAGCUGACUACAUGGUCUGAUGCACCUGUGUCUACAAUCCAAAUAAUUUCAUUUGGUGUGGAAUGCAUGAAACUACUACAACAAUACUUGCCUGCUGAGUACAUCAGUGCAGUUGGCUUAUGAGAACCUGGUGUUUGGGAUGUGCCUGGUUGUGCUGCUGGAUCCUUGAGCCUCACAGCAUUCAUAAGUUGGGAGAACUGAUCCUGUGUCAGUUGGAUGUUGCCUCCUUCACUUGAUUGUGAAGCUGCAUGAACCUGUGGUUUGAAGGCUCCAUGAUUUGCAGCAUAGGAAGGUCUAGGACCAUAUUGUUGUCUUGGUCCUUGCUGUGGCAUGGGCCUGGGAGUGACUCCUGGUGGAAAGCCAAUUUUGAAGAAGCAUCUAUCCACUGUGUGGUUUUGCAUUUUGCAGAAGGUGCAAAAUAGAUUCUUGCCCUUUUGAGGUCCUGGUCGAAAACCUCCUGGUUGAGCAGCUUGCUGGCCUGCAUAGUCGGCUCGCCAGCGUCGGCGGCAAUUCAGAUUCGGCGUCCAUAAGAGAAUUAUUUUGAAAUUAAUUUUUGAGUGAGAUUGUGAAAAUUUAUAAACCCCCGCCCCCAUUUUGUCAUGGAUUAGCCUUAUUUUUCAGAAUGGUUAUAUUAUUAACUCGUUUGUGUUCAAAUGAAAUGGCUCAACGUUCUCAUUGAUAGAAAGGUGGUACAUAUACAAAGUGAUGAGAAGCUAAAAGACAAUGUGCACAGCUGGUAGCUGGCUGAAAGAGAGUAGGUGAGCUUGAGGCUCUAACGGAAUUUGCAGAAAUGCAGAGGAACAGAGAAGAGGACGAUGAGCUGUUCUGAUCAGUGCAACGAUGACGUUUUGUUCUUAUCUUCAUCACUUAACAGAACGCUCCGUUUCAUUUAGUCGUUGGUGUAGAGAGGAAGAAACGCUCCGUUUCACUUGAAGCUUGGAGAGUGUGAAGUUUGGCGGGAAAAUGAAAAAUCAUUUCCAAUAUCGCGUUCUCCGAUACAAGCUCCGCCAUGUUAGUCGUCUGCGCCGUCGGCGGCUGCGCGUGGAGGAGGUUGGUUGUUGUGUAGUGCGGGAUCCAUGACUUGUAAGGAAUUGCCUCCUGCAUUUUUUUUUUGUGUUGCAGAGAUUUGUGAAUCAAAUGAUGAGUGGAUUGAUGAUCAAAUGGGUUUUAUAUUGGUGGGGGGAGACUUGGAAAUGUGGCGUCAACGGUGGUUGGAGG
rnacentral:lncRNA from 1 species